CAUUGCGACUCGCGAGGGGUCAGGGCAUCUUCCUCUUCACACCUUGUUCACACAGCCAAACACGCUGCCCCCUCUCCAUUCUCCUGAGCUUCUCUCUUCCCAUCCUUCGAUUCGUUCAUCAAACUCCGGAGGAAUCAUGGCCGCGGCCGGCGACGACAUAGGUCCUCCUCCUCCUCCACUGCGCCGCUCUACUACGUUGCCCCGCCUUCCUUCCAGUCCUACGGCAGCGGAGGCUACAAUGCUUUAGCUGUACAGCGCGCCCUACAGGCUACAGCGCCCCGCCGCCCUCGUCCGCCCCUCCCUAUGGCGCGCCGCCGCACUUGUCCGCGCCCUCUCAGAUUGGGAGGGGCCUGUAGCGUGCCUCUCCUUCACCGUCUUGUCAUAUUGAGGCAUGGCUGGUUAGGGUACGAUCUGGGAUUUGAGGCUGGGGAUUAGGGUUUGGGGGAUUUUUGCUAGAUGGCCGCCAACGAGACCAUGAGCAGCUGCUCCAAGAUCUACGUGGAGGCCUACCCUCCCUCCUAUCCCUCAGCCUCAGCAUGGCUGCUGUGUGUCCCCCUUUUCUUGUCUGCCCUGAACCUGUUUGAGAAAAUGCAUGUGUGGCUUUUUCGAAGUGUUGCUUACAGGCAUCAUCUCUUGCUACUAUGUUGCAUCUAGGAGAAGCUGUAUAUCAAGGAGGUAACGGUGGCCGGCCAGGAGAUGGUGAAGGAGCAUGUGGACCAGGUGCUGCUUGACCCCGCCGACACGGAUGUCACCUUCCUCAUGCCUGGUGAUUGGUUGAACACAUGGAAUUCCUAAAAGUGAUCAUUAUACUAAGCAAUACUUUUUGUUGUACGUAGGCAAUAAUCUGCUGUUAAUUAGGUACGCUGGGAAGGGAAGCUUUGAUUGCAUAUAUACAUAGGCAAACAUGUUGAGAAGCUUCGGUGAAUCAAGUAGGAGGUGGCAGGACAUUGCUUGUACAUUUAUUCUAAAUUGCUACGAAGUGAUUAUGAUAUGCUUUCAACUUUUAACAAUCAAGGAGUACUUCAGCUUCUAAUACUGUUUGUUGUUUAGCUCAAAACCUUACAGGUAUUCACCUGCGUUAACAAGAUUUCAAGUUGAAUUAUAUGAUUUCAUUGGUCUGAUUUGAGACUAUUGGUUUAUCUAAAGAUUGUGACAUCCAAAUAUAUUGAUCUUCCUGUAGGUUUAGGUUCGAUAUAUUUCUUCAUGUAACCUACAGAAUAUGAUACUUAAGUCGUAGAUUCUAAAACAAGUGCAAACUGCUAUUUUUCUUACAGCUGGAAGUACAUUCUCGCAAUAUAGAUGUACUGCUUUACUCCUUUCGAUUUGAUAAGGUAUGGUGAACACAAAGCUUGCUAUAUGAUUUGGGGUCUGACCCAACCGUCGGUGUGGUUGCGUACGCGCAGCAGCAGGACGAGUCACAUUUUGGGGAAUUUUUCCGAUGUGAUUUCCAGCAGAGAUUUGGAGAGAUCCAGUUGGUGGUGGAGGAUAUGAUGCACACAAAGAUUUUUGGUAGAGGGAGAAGCUCAAAUCAAGGAAGGAGGACGAGCCUCGUGAUUGGAGGUGAGUGCCGACUCCAGCAUCCUGCUACCACGGCGCGAAUGACCAUGGCGAGAGGAGUGGACUUGAAUGGGUGCCCAUAUGCUUCGAUGUAAGACUACGGGGAGAUCUCCACCUUGUUACUGUUAGAAGAUAUUAUAAGAUGAGUAGCAGAGUAACGCCGCAAAUCGCAGAUCCAGGCCAAGUGGGUGGUGGGGGGAGAUCCCCUGCGCGUUGGCAUCCUAUGCGCGGUGUGCCGAAGCGCGCAGCAGGUUAAGUCAUCAGCAGAACAUGCACUUGGAUCAUUUUGGGUAAACAUUCUUGCCGCUAAUAGGAGCUGGGUCCUGCCGGUGAUGUCUAGGAGCCGCCACCGCCCGCGGCGUCAGUGUUCAAGCUCGAGGAGCUCGGGUGGGAGGACCCAACUCGCCGUGAAACUCCGUAUGCUCAUGAUGCCGCCGUGGCAGCACGUCCUCAACAUGAAGCUUCACGGCGAGGUUUUGCUCCCCUUUAAUGUGAUUCGCUCAUUAUUGCAUUCUGAAGGUUCAUAUACUGCUUGUUUAGGUUUACUAUAAUAUUAUUUCCAUGUGGUGUUCGCUCCAUACUUCUGUGUUCAGAUUGACUAACACAUGAAAACAGAGGAUAUCAUACUUCUUUAAAUACUUAACUGAUAUGAUUAAAAUGCCUACUGAACAUUAAUCAUAAUGUUUAUGACGUGUUUGUUUAUGAUAUUAAAUAAGAAUUUAAAAGGCUGGGGAUAGGUUGCACAAUUUCUAACCACAUCUAGCCCUGCAAGGGGUCCGGGUCGACCCACCUGUGAAGUCGCUUUGCUCCUCAUUUUGGCCUGUGGGCCGGAGCGGUUCGACCCUAAACAAAAGAGGAGCAGUAGGGUUAAGAUCCGAUCGAUCUCAAUCGACCCUAGGGUCGACCCUGACGGCGCUUCUCCUCCUCCCGCGACAGCACCGCUCCUCCUCCUCCUCCCUCACGAGGACAGCGCUCUGCCGGCCGUCACAGGGGGCGGCGGCGCGGCCUGUAGGCGGCCCGCGGCGGCGGCGCGGCCUGCAGGAGGCCCGCGGCGGGGGCGCCAGGGGGUGGCGCGCGCAGGGCCUAGCUGCCACAUGGAGGCGGCCACGCGUACAGGGUCCCGCAGCGCGGCGAGCUCCGCCCUGAUCUCCUGAAGCCGUGACCAACGGUCGGGUGAGAGGAGGGGCCCCGUGCGUGCCCCUGCCCUGUGGAUCCACCAGCAGCCGCGAGCGGCUCGAGAUCCUUGACGACGAGCGCCGCGUGCUCAGCUUCCGCGUCGUCGGCUGGGAGAUCCAUGGGAGCAGAAGGGGACCUGUCUAGAUGGGGCAACACAGGGAGACUAUUCAGCACUGAUGAAAUGUUAGAGUUGAAACUAACACAGACAAGAAAAUUCUGCAUUCUUCAGUUUCAUGAAGGUGUUACUGGUGACUGGUGUGGUGGUUUUGAAGCCUUUUUACAUUCUUUGUCAAAUGAACAGUUGUCUUGUCUGAUUCUGAAACAUGCUGGUUCAUGCCGUACCACAAGCUAGCUAGUCUUUUCCCAUCGAUCUCACUCACUCAAACACACCCACAAUAGUACUACUAGUCUUAUUAUUAGAAAAACAAAGGAGAAGAAGGAUGAACAUGCAUGAUGUGAUCCAAGUAUGGCACACAGUACAUGCAGCAAUGCAUUGUGUUUCUAGUAGUACUGCUGCAUGCAA